GCCAGCGCCACCUGAACACACAGACUGCCAGGGGGCGAGAUGAUAUUCGCCACUGUUUCCAGAUAGAAGAAGCAUCGCUUUCUUCAGCAGAUUGAUAGAUGAAGCAUAAAACAAGACCAGAUGCUGUGGUUUCCAGGAUGCACUUGGCUUCCCAUGCUUUAUAACCUGGAGCAUUUAUUGCUGUCCAUUCCUGAUGUGUCCACCAGAGCCCAGUCUCAUCAGGGGCAUCAUGAGUCUCCAUCAACCAAGGUGGUACAAAAACAGCACUCUACUUGGUUUGUGUUCUGUGCCCUGAAGCAGAAAUGUGUUUAAUUGUUCAUUGCAAAAUAAAC